ACACGGGGCCGGCCCUGACGGCGCUCCCGGGAGCAGCCGGUGCGCGGCGGCGGCACGACCCCCUGCGCCUCCGAGGCAGACGAGCCCAUCGGGAGAAGGCGAGGCAGGGAAGUGCCUGUGCGUGUGGAAAAGGGGGUCUGUGGGGCGGAUGCGAGUGCGCGCGUGCUCGCGGACCAGCGAGGGAGAGUAGAGCAGUACCGCACUCUGCGCGGGGGCCCCUCUUCUGCCCCGUGUCCCCCUCUCCUCCCUCCGCGGGCAAACAGGCACGCACCUGCCUGCACAGAACCUCAGCCUCUGCCCGCGCCCGUCGCCCCUCGUCACUUGUUCCCCAGGAUCCUGUAAGGCACCCGCAUCCUUCCCGGCCACCCAGCUCCCUUCCCCUGUCACUCACUGUCGCCUUGAACCCAAAGUGCAGCAGGCGGUCCCUGCUCGGAGCCAUUUUCCUCCUCUUCUGGAUGUGUCUAGAUUGGGGCAGUGCGGCUGCCGCCGCGCCUCCGCGGUUGCCGCCGCCGCCGCCUCCCCCGCCUCCCCCGCCCCAGUGCAUUACAUUACGGGGUGCUGCAGGGAGGCCUGGGGGGCCGGGGCCGGACGCUUGUCUCCCUGUGCAUGGCUCGGGAGGGCGAGGGUGGUUGCGCUGAGCAACAGGCCAAGUGCCCGCCCUGGUCCGGGGAUGGCUGCGGAGCUGCACCUGAGGCCGGGGGUCGGGGGUGCAGGGCUGGAGCCGGGCAACCCUUCCUUUGGCCGGGGUCGGGGCGCGCGUCCGUGGGGGUGGGGCGGGCGAGACCGAAGAGCCUUUGGUUUUCCUUGCUCGGCCGCCGCCGGCGCCCAAUGGGCUGCAGCGCCUGCCUGUCCGCCAAUCAGGGCGCUGUUUGGUGAGAGCUUCGGCCUGACGUCACUUUGGCGGGAGAAACAAGCGUGUGUGAGCGAGUAGGCGGGGGCGUUUUCCCGAUGGAAACACUUCAUCAGACUCCCGGGCUCCUUGUAUAGAAGCUGAUCUGUGUCAUCAUAUUAUAUUAUGUUUUAACAACUCUGGCCUUCAAGGUCUCAGAAUUUAUGACCGAAUUUCCACGAAGGAAUAACACAGGAUUUUGUAGUUUUGUUGCCCCUUCUAUGAGCAACAAACUACAAAAUUAUGUCCUAAGAGUGAACUAUUAGAAACUGUAUAAUAAAUUCCAGCACACCUGGCAGGAGCAGCAGCACUGCUAAUUGUAUGCUUCCAAAGCAGUUAUGAGUUGGUCUUCCUCACACCCCUUUUAAUUAGUGGUUUUAGCGACUGACUUGUUAUGCGUCUAAGAAAUUAACAAGAGCAACAAGUGCGGCAGAUCUUUAAGAACAGGUAUAUUUUAGCUGGAGGACAUAUUACCCAACUCUUAAAGCACUGUACAAACUUUUUCUUUUUUUUUUUUUUUUUUUUU
rnacentral:lncRNA from 1 species